GACGAACGCUGGCGGCGUGCUUAACACAUGCAAGUCGAACGGAAAGGCCCCUUUGGGGGUACUCGAGUGGCGAACGGGUGAGUAACACGUGAGUAACCUGCCCUUGACUUCGGGAUAACUUCAGGAAACUGGGGCUAAUACCGGAUAGGAAUCCUUGCUGCAUGGUGGGGGUUGGAAAGCUUCGGCGGUUUUGGAUGGACUCGCGGCUUAUCAGCUUGUUGGUGGGGUAGUGGCUUACCAAGGCUUUGACGGGUAGCCGGCCUGAGAGGGCGACCGGCCACAUUGGGACUGAGAUACGGCCCAGACUCCUACGGGAGGCAGCAGUGGGGAAUAUUGCCCAAUGGGCGGCAGUCUGAUGCAGCAACGCCGCGUGCGGGAUGACGGCCUUCGGGUUGUAAACCGCUUUCAGCAGGGGCGAAGCUUGUGGUGACGGUACCUGCAGAAGAAGCACCGGCUAACUACGUG
rnacentral:rRNA from 1 species